GGCUGUGCCUGGCGCUGCUCCCCCACAGCGGCCCCUGCCCCCACAGCGGCCCCUGUCCGUUGUCCUGCACGUGUGUCUGCUCCUGGCUCUCUCCUUGUCCUUGCCCCUGUCCCUGCCAUUGGUGCCGCUGCCCAUCCCUACCCCUAAUGCUGCUCCUGUCCCUGCCCCCUCCAGUCUUCCCGUUCCUGCCUCUGCCUCUGUCCCUGUCGCUGCUCCAGCGCCGCCCCUGCCCUUUUCCUGCCGGUGCCUCUGUACCUGUCUCUGCCACUGCCCCUGUCCUGUCCCCUCCCCUGCCCCUGCCUCUUCCGUGCCGGUGGAGGGCCGGUCACCUCCUUGCAGGCACGGCACUGGCAAACUACUCGUGUAUGUGUGUGUAUUUGUAUAUAUAUGCGGACGAUCAGUGCUAAGAGCUCCUGGGGUGCUGUGUGGUUGUCAAUAACUUGGAUCUCGUCUGGGAAUGGAAGUUAGCUGAAAGUGAGGCCAUACCUUUGCAGUGGCUAAGAAACACGACGUUUUUCUCAGUUUUUGCAUUUUGGAUCAACACAGAGAGACAGAAUUAAUGCCCUCCUCCUGUUUUCCUUCUGUUGACUCAUGAGAUUUGCUUUGAAAAGAUAUGUGAUGCAAAUGAAGAUCCAAAUAAAUGAUAGAUGAGUGGUUCUGCUGCCAUUUUACACAUCACUCUAAUACCUAGAACUGGUCCGGACUGCAACCAUCACUUUGACAAGACUGGGGCUCUAACCACCAGGAAGACCCCAAGAAGAGGAUCAACGGGAUGCCAUUGGAACCCACAGAGUGGUUUCUGUCCUUCUGGAGAAAGCCAAUCCUGAAAAAUCAAGAGAAGGUCAAGCAGAAGCCACUGACUGUCCCCUUGUCCUAUAAAUCCAUCAGUUGUCAACCACAGAGGAUAGCUUCUGCUGAUAUUUCUUUCAUGUAUGUUUCUAUUCUAAUAUUAAUAAUAUUAGAAUAAAUACUCGAGGAUGCAAAGUAGGAAAUAUCUUCUUUCUCUUCAAUCAGUCGUCUGCUCUUCUGAUUCCUUUGCUCUCCUCCAUCCUCCAUCUCUUUCUGUAAGGUUAGUUUUUGGUUACUGUCCCAGGCGUAAACAGUCAGUCUAUUCUAGUUAUUCAGCCACACUGCUAUAAUUUAUUUUUCAUCUCCCAGGGAACGUAAUAAAGUUUAAAUUAACUCAGCUUGUGUCUUCAGGAAUUAGGCAAGUAAAUAUUUCUCUACAUGCUAAUUAAUUUGAGACUGUAAAGGAUAUUAGUAGGCGUUAGUUUUAUGCCAUGUCCCCCAGCUUUCUCUCCCUUACAAAUUUAAGGACCUCCUCAAUGGUAUUUCCUUGUACUCCAUCAUUUUGUUAGGUACACACUUGAUGAAAAAAACAAAAUCACUUUUCUGAUUAGACUCAUUGAAUAAUUUGUUAUGAUCAGUCAUGUUUCUUUAGUUUCUUCAGCCUAAUUUUCAUAUUUUCUGAUAGCAGUCUAGUUUGCUGGUAACAUUUAACUAAAACAUAAAUAAUAACGUAGAGUUCAUCUUGGCAGAUAGUCUUCAGGUUGUGUGUUCUUGUAAGACGGGAAAAAAGCAAAUAGACACUGGGUGGCAGAUGAGCACUGUUGUUGAGGUCACUGAUUACGGAGCAUCUGUAUAUAUUCUAAAAAUGCAGGCAAUUUGUUAAAAUUGGUUAUUGUUCUGUUAUGGCAAAAUAAAAAUGUACUUUAUGUUCCCUGUGUAAUAAAUACUGCUUGUACAUUUUG